AAACUAUGGGCUUAACCCAUAGCCUGCAAUUGAAACUGUUUGGCUUGAGUGAAGUAGAGGUAGGUGGAAUUCCCGGUGUAGCGGUGAGAUGCGUAGAGAUCGGGAGGAACACCAGUGGCGAAGGCGACCUACUGGGCUUUAACUGACGCUGAAACACGAAAGCAUGGGUAGCAAACAGGAUUAGAUACCCUGGUAGUCCAUGCUGUAAACGAUGAUUACUAGGUGUGGGGGGUCUGACCCCUUCCGUGCCGGAGUUAACACAAUAAGUAAUCCACCUGGGGAGUACGACCGCAAGGUUGAAACUCAAAGGAAUUGACGGGGGCCCGCACAAGCAGUGGAGUAUGUGGUUUAAUUCGAAGCAACGCGAAGAACCUUACCAGGUCUUGACAUCCAACUAACGAAGCAGAGAUGCAUUAGGUGCCCUUCGGGGAAAGUUGAGACAGGUGGUGCAUGGUUGUCGUCAGCUCGUGUCGUGAGAUGUUGGGUUAAGUCCCGCAACGAGCGCAACCCUUACUGUUAGUUGCUACGCAAGAGCACUCUAGCAGGACUGCCGUUGACAAAACGGAGGAAGGUGGGGACGACGUCAAAUCAUCAUGCCCCUUAUGACCUGGGCUACACACGUACUACAAUGGCCGUUAACAGAGAGAAGCGAUACCGCGAGGUGGAGCGAACCUCAAAAAGCGGUCUCAGUUCGGAUUGCAGGCUGAAACCCGCCUGCAUGAAGUUGGAAUUGCUAGUAAUCGCGGAUCAUAAUGCCGCGGUGAAUACGUUCCCGGGCCUUGUACACACCGCCCGUCACACCAUGGGAGCCGGUAAUACCCGAAGUCAGUAGUCUAACCGCAAGGAGGACGCUGCCGAAGGUAGGAUUGGCGACUGGGGUGAAGUCGUAACAAGGUAACCGUA
rnacentral:rRNA from 1 species